AUUGAACGCUGGCGGCAGGCCUAACACAUGCAAGUCGAACGAGUGGCGGACGGGUGAGUAAUGUCUGGGAAACUGCCCGAUGGAGGGGGAUAACUACUGGAAACGGUAGCUAAUACCGCAUACCAUCGGAUGUGCCCAGAUGGGAUUAGCUAGUAGGUGGGGUAAAGGCUCACCUAGGCGACGAUCCCUAGCUGGUCUGAGAGGAUGACCAGCCACAGUGGAAUGGAGACACGGUCCAGACUCCUACGGUAGGCAGCAGUGGGGAAUAUUGCACAAUGGGCGAAAGCCUGAUGCAGCCAUGCCGCGUGUGGGAAGAAGGCCUUCGGGUUGGAAAGCACUUUCAGCGGGGAGGCGUUACCCGAAGAAGAAGCACCGGCUAACUCCGUGCCAGCAGCCGCGGUAAUUC
rnacentral:rRNA from 1 species